UGGGGAAUAUUGCACAAUGGGCGAAAGCCUGAUGCAGCAACGCCGCGUGAGGGAUGACGGCCUUCGGGUUGUAAACCUCUUUUAGUAGGGAAGAAGCGAAAGUGACGGUACCUGCAGAAAAAGCACCGGCUAACUACGUGCCAGCAGCCGCGGUAAUACGUAGGGUGCAAGCGUUGUCCGGAAUUAUUGGGCGUAAAGAGCUCGUAGGCGGUUUGUCGCGUCUGUUGUGAAAUCCCGAGGCUCAACCUCGGGCUUGCAGUGGGUACGGGCAGACUAGAGUGCGGUAGGGGAGAUUGGAAUUCCUGGUGUAGCGGUGGAAUGCGCAGAUAUCAGGAGGAACACCGAUGGCGAAGGCAGAUCUCUGGGCCGUAACUGACGCUGAGGAGCGAAAGCAUGGGGAGCGAACAGGAUUAGAUACCCUGGUAGUCCAUGCCGUAAACGUUGGGCGCUAGAUGUAGGGACCUUUCCACGGUUUCUGUGUCGUAGCUAACGCAUUAAGCGCCCCGCCUGGGGAGUACGGCCGCAAGGCUA
rnacentral:rRNA from 1 species